rnacentral:rRNA from 1 species
GAUGAACGCUGGCGGCGUGCCUAAUACAUGCAAGUCGAGCGAACAGACGAGGAGCUUGCUCCUCUGACGUUAGCGGCGGACGGGUGAGUAACACGUGGAUAACCUACCUAUAAGACUGGGAUAACUUCGGGAAACCGGAGCUAAUACCGGAUAAUAUAUUGAACCGCAUGGUUGAAUAGUGAAAGACGGUUUUGCUGUCACUUAUAGAUGGAUCCGCGCCGCAUUAGCUAGUUGGUAAGGUAACGGCUUACCAAGGCAACGAUGCGUAGCCGACCUGAGAGGGUGAUCGGCCACACUGGAACUGAGACACGGUCCAGACGCCUACGGGAGGCAGCAGUAGGGAAUCUUCCGCAAUGGGCGAAAACCUGACGGAGCAACGCCGAGUGAGUGAUGACGGUCUUCGGAUCGUAAAACUCUGUUAUUAGGGAAGAACAAAUGUGUAAGUAACUAUGCACGUCUUGACGGUACCUAAUCAGAAAGCCACGGCUAACUACGUG